GAUGAACGCUGGCGGCGUGCCUAAUACAUGCAAGUCGAGCGAACAGACGAGGAGCUUGCUCCUCUGACGUUAGCGGCGGACGGGUGAGUAACACGUGGAUAACCUACCUAUAAGACUGGGAUAACUUCGGGAAACCGGAGCUAAUACCGGAUAAUAUAUUGAACCGCAUGGUUCAAUAGUGAAAGACGGUUUUGCUGUCACUUAUAGCUGGAUCCGCGCCGCAUUAGCUAGUUGGUAAGGUAACGGCUUACCAAGGCAACGAUGCGUAGCCGACCUGAGAGGGUGAUCGGCCACACGGGAACUGAGACACGGUCCAGACUCCUGCGGGAGGCAGCAGUAGGGAAUCUUCCGCAAUGGGCGAAAGCCUGACGGAGCAGCGCCGCGUGAGUGAUGAAGGUCUUCGGAUCGGAAAACUCUGUUAUUAGGGAAGAACAAAUGUGUAAGUAACUAUGCACGUCUUGACGGUACCUAAUCAGAAAGCCACGGCUAACUACGUG
rnacentral:rRNA from 1 species